UACGUAGGUGGCAAGCGUUGUCCGGAAUUAUUGGGCGUAAAGGGCUCGUAGGCGGUUUGUCGCGUCGGGAGUGAAAACCCAGGGCUUAACCCUGGGCUGGCUUUCGAUACGGGCAGACUAGAGGUAUGCAGGGGAGAACGGAAUUCCUGGUGUAGCGGUGAAAUGCGCAGAUGUCAGGAGGAACACCGGUGGCGAAGGCGGUUCUCUGGGCAUUACCUGACGCUGAGGAGCGAAAGUGUGGGGAGCGAACAGG
rnacentral:rRNA from 1 species